GCUGUUUCGUAAUUCAGGAACAAGUUUUGCUUCGUGUCCAAUAUUUAUGUGAAAAUCAAAACAGAAUGAUCGGCCACAAAGCUUCAAGGUGUAUUCCACGUAAUCCUCCAGAUAUCAUUCCGGAAAAGCCGAACCUGACCGGAUUAGUCGAACGGAAAGGGGCAUGAAUGUUUCAACGCAAUGUAGGAGGAUUCAGUGGGCAUGGUGAGUCGGAAGAACGCGAAGCUAAAUUGCCACGAGCCGGGUGAAGGCAAAACUUGCCUCAUGGUGAUACAUUUCUUAAAUAAAUACCCAAUUUUGAA